GAUAGGCUAGUUGAAGCCUCUAGGACAGAGGAAUUUACAGGGGAAGACCCUGGAUUGGGAGAACAAAUGGCAGAUGGAGCAACAGUCAGGCACAUGGCUCUCGCUGAGGCAACUAAACAAGGGCUAUGAUCACCUGUAAGAAGAAUGAGGCUGUCAAAAAACAGACAGGAUUGAAGCCCAAAUGCUUCAAAUCUGUCAGCCUUCCUCUGGUCAGCAGUCUCUGCAGAUCAUUGUCAAUGAUGCAGCGACGUACUUUUGCUGCAGGCACGUUGGGCCACAGGAACAACUCUGUUGGUAGCAGUACUUUCCCAGCCAGCCACAAAACACCCAAGAGCCCACACUUCCCUUUCUCUACUGGCCCCUUCCUUCACCAUACCCCAUGUAACUUCCUGAUCCUCACACCUGUGCAUUCUAAAACAUGUUGUUGUCUCAUCUGUUCAGAUGCUAACUUCACUGUUUAUUUAAAAAAUAAAAAUAAAAAUGAAUAGGUUGCAUUUUACUCUCCUGACAUUCACAAAGAACACUAUAAGGUUGUGGAAAAACACAAAACUUUUAACAUGAAAAUCAAAGU